AAGCACCCGAAGCCGGUGACCUAACCGAAAGGAAGGAGCCGUCGAAGGUGAAGCCGAUGACUGGGGUGAAGUCGUAACAAGGUAGCCGUAUCGGAAGGUGCGGCUGGAUCACCUCCUUUCUAAGGAA
rnacentral:rRNA from 1 species